UGGGUAAUAUUGCACAAUGGGCACAAGCCUGAUGCAGCGACGCCGCGUGAGCGAUGAAGGUUUUCGAAUCGUAAAGCUCUGUCCUAUGGGAAGAUAAUGACGGUACCAUAGGAGGAAGCCCCGGCUAACUACGUGCCAGCAGCCGCGGUAAUACGUAGGGGGCGAGCGUUGUCCGGAAUUACUGGGCGUAAAGGGUUCGCAGGCGGCAUGACAAGUCCGAUGUAAAAGGCGAAAGCUCAACUUUCGUAAGCAUCGGAAACUGUCAAGCUGGAGGGAAGGAGAAGCAAGUGGAAUUCCUAGUGUAGCGGUGGAAUGCGUAGAUAUUAGGAGGAAUACCGGUGGCGAAGGCGACUUGCUGGACUUCAACUGACGCUGAGGAACGAAAGCGUGGGUAGCAAACAGG
rnacentral:rRNA from 1 species